CCUGUUUGGUGGGCGUGUCUCAGGUGUUACCCAAUCAGCUGUGUAAAGUUUGUAAGCACAAAGGUGUUAAAAAGGCAGGAAAAUGCCAUGCGUUUGCGUACACAACAGGGUGUCCAGGGGACCACCGUUUCCGUUGAAAAAAACGUUUUGAUACGUUUUGUCUGGUCUGAACUCGCCCCAGGUUGUUCAAGGCACCACCGUUUCCGUAGAAAUUUACGUUUUGUUGGGGAUGAACUCGGCUCUGAUUUCCAGUCGCCAUCAUGCCUGCCAAACUAGGGACCCACUGCUCGGCCUCAUGCAUGCAUGCUGUCAGAGACUCCCCUGCCUUCUCAGGAGUGGAUGCAUAGCUGGAGAUACCUGGACCUGCAAGUUGAGCAAAAUGUCAAGAGGAGGUUGAGAUUUGUCAGCAUGACAACAGUUGCUACUUUCUGCUCCCAUAUCAUCCUCCAGAAAUCUGCAACAGUUUCUUCUUUUGGACCUGUAAGCCAAAGGCAUUUGUACAGAACACAGAAGACUCUGCCUUAUGACCACCUGUUACUCCAACCUCCAGGCUGAGAAGGGGGGAUGCUUACAUUGUACUCCUCCCUGAAGAGCUUGCCAUCAUCAGCAGAGCGGAGCCUGUACUCCUCCUCGAGGUGGUCCACUGGGAUGGGGAAGUAGGUCUUAGAGGCUGAAGGGGAUCUGGGCAGAAGAACCACCGUCUGUUGCUCUGUGUGGAGAACAGUCCACUGUCACAGCCUGGCUGCUUGUUCUCUUCUCACUAAGCAUGAGAGGGAGUCAGCUAGAAGCACUUCCUGACUGGGCUCCGCCUCAAUGACUACAGGAGGAAGUGUUUUUCACCCAGAGCUCUGCCACAGAGCCUGGCUCACAGCCAGUUAGCCAGGCCCUGGACAGGGGUGAGGUGGGUGAGUCCUUGCAGGGGGACAGAUUUUACCUGAGGAAGUACCAGGCUAUCAGUGCAACGAUGAGCAGCAGCAGGGAUAGGACCAGCACGGUGGGGAGGAUGUGGUGGCUGGGGACUGUAACGUCUUCUGAGGAAGAAGGAGAGGCAGAGCCGGAGUUCAGGGAGCACCGUCAACAAAGAAGCAGGAAGAGAGGCCAAGGCUGACAAUAUAUGUGCAUAUAUCAGAGUGUGCAAAUGCUUGGCUGAAUUUAUGUGUUUGAGCCAUGUGUAUAUUGCAUGAACUGAUUAAACAAAAUCAAUACUUGGCACAGCAUCACACCUCCCAUGUUCUCUUCUGGC